AUAUAUGUAAUAACUAUUCCAUUUCCUCGUCAUAGACGCUUGUUCUGUUACACUAUUAUUAUAUAAAUUGUAAUAAUAAAACUCUCUGGUAAGUGUAACAACUAGGUAUAUUUAAAGAAAACAUCAAUUUGAGACGUGGUUAUGAUAAACGGUAAUUAGCAAUAUCUAUAUAUAUAUUAAUUACAGGUAUAUAGUAUACUGUUUAAAACAUCCACGUCUUAACACAUCCAUCUUUUCAUUACAAUUAAAAAUAAAACAUAAGUCAAAAUUAAAUUAGCUUAAAAAUCGUUUGCAAAUUUGUACCUACUCUGCAUAUCAAUAUUUCAUUUAUUGACCAACAUACCUAAGUAAAGACAAUAAUACAAGUCAUAAAUCCGCAUAUAAAUAUACAUAUAUUACUUUAAAGUCAUAUUAAAAUAAAGUCUAGCUUUUUCUGUCACAGGAAAUGAAAGAGACAACAACAUUUACCUACACUCAUUUUACACCCACUUUGUCUUAUUUAAGGGAACGAGAUAAUUUUGCCUAAGGAAAGGUAUAAAUGUACAUUUUUAGUUUGACUAUUAAAUUAUGAUUUUUACACAGUUGCAUAUGAUGUACUUAGUUAGUACCUUAAUAGGUAUACAGACUCUCACGUACACAUUUGACAGAUACCAAUGGGUGGAUAUCAGGGGUGCGAUGUAAAGCAUGAUUGUUCCAAAGUUUCAUUCCUGUUUUGUAACUAGUUCGUAACCAGUUAGGAACCGAAACUAAUCCUCAAUAUUCCCAUUCAGGUAUUCAUGAUAUGAUUUUAUUUUUUUGGGGAUAUUGAAAUAUUGGUAUCUACCAAAGAGUUGGUAUUGUAAGCAAUAUUUAUCAAAUCAUAACUAAUUAUAUAAGAAUGCAACGCACUUUACGCAGUUUCAUGAUACUUCACGUAAAUUAAACUAAUUCAUUGUUAUUCAGGUAUAAUAUUUGUUCUAGUAAUAUUGAAAAAUCAUAUUUGCCGUAUUAUUACCAUUUGUUCUGGGUAUAAUUACAUUACAUAUAUCUAAACUUAUCAACAUAUAUUCAAAUAAAUUCAAUAAAAUAUAAGUAUAUGUAUUUGUUUAUUUAAAGUUUUGAUCAAUUUUAAAUCAUUUAUAAAACACUCAAAAACUUUUUACCCACA